UAUUGAAAAAUCAGAAUAGAAAUUGAGUGAUUCAAUUUCUUGUGACCUCCUGCGAUGCAUAUAAUCUGAGAACAAAGGGGCAUGAGCUUGAGACCAGAGACGCUGAGCAUGAGAAGCUUAAGUUGGAGUUGAAGAAACUUCAGAAGAUGAAGGAGUUCAAACCUAACAUGAUGAAAAAAGAGUUGCAGAGAGUGGAAUCUUCUGGUAAAGCUUUUGCAUCCGCA